UACCCAUGUUGAGGGCAUUCCCGUAGGGGCUCCUUGAACCUAUCCCAUGUCUCAAAUAGAUACUCCAAUUCCAUUUGCACAAAAGAGGAUAUUUCAUUCCUAAGCUA